rnacentral:rRNA from 1 species
AUUGAACGCUGGCGGCAGGCCUAACACAUGCAAGUCGAGCGAGCGGCGGACGGGUGAGUAAUGUGUGGGAACCUGCCUGUUGGAGGGGGAUAACUACUGGAAACGGUAGCUAAUACCGCAUCCCAUCAGAUGUGCGCAGAUGGGAUGAGCUAGUGGGUGGGGUAACGGCCCACCUAGGCGACGAUCCCUAGCUGGUCUGAGAGGAUGACCAGCCACACUGGAACUGAGACACGGUCCAGACUCCUACGGGAGGCAGCAGUGGGGAAUAUUGCACAAUGGGCGAAAGCCUGAUGCAGCCAUGCCGCGUGUGUGAAGAAGGCCUUCGGGUUGUAAAGCACUUUCAGCGGGGAGGCGUUACCCGCAGAAGAAGCACCGGCUAACUCCGUGCCAGCAGCCGCGGUAAUAC